rnacentral:tRNA from 1 species
GGCUGGGUAGCUCAGCGGUAGAGCAGUCGUUUCAUAAGCGAUUGGUAGUGGGUUCGACUCCCACCCCAGCCA